rnacentral:lncRNA from 1 species
GGAGGUUCUUAUUAGUAGCCUAGAAACGGAAGAAAUGGAGAAGGCUGGUAGGACCAAAGAUUCAGAUGCCAAUACCUCAAGUGAGAGGUCAAAUGCUCAAUCUAGUGGCGGCUCUGAAGGCUCUGAAGGUUAAGACUGUGAUGUGUGUGUUGUGUGUCAAGACUGUUUUGUUGUGGCUGAUGUUAUGGAGGUUGAUCCCCCAGAUGUUUUGAUGCUGAAGAAUUUGUUUCUUUUUGUUUAAAU